rnacentral:rRNA from 1 species
GACGAACGCUGGCGGCGUGCCUAAUACAUGCAAGUAGAACGCUGAAGAGAGGAGCUUGCUCUUCUUGGAUGAGUUGCGAACGGGUGAGUAACGCGUAGGUAACCUGCCUUGUAGCGGGGGAUAACUAUUGGAAACGAUAGCUAAUACCGCAUAACAAUGGAUGACCCAUGUCAUUUAUUUGAAAGGGGCAAUUGCUCCACUACAAGAUGGACCUGCGUUGUAUUAGCUAGUAGGUGAGGUAACGGCUCACCUAGGCGACGAUACAUAGCCGACCUGAGAGGGUGAUCGGCCACACUGGGACUGAGACACGGCCCAGACUCCUACGGGAGGCAGCAGUAGGGAAUCUUCGGCAAUGGGGGCAACCCUGACCGAGCAACGCCGCGUGAGUGAAGAAGGUUUUCGGAUCGUAAAGCUCUGUUGUAAGUCAAGAACGAGUGUGAGAGUGGAAAGUUCACACUGUGACGGUAGCUUACCAGAAAGGGACGGCUAACUACGUGCCAGCAGCCGCGGUAAUACGUAGGUCCCGAGCGUUGUCCGGAUUUAUUGGGCGUAAAGCGAGCGCAGGCGGUUUGAUAAGUCUGAAGUUAAAGGCUGUGGCUCAACCAUAGUUCGCUUUGGAAACUGUCAAACUUGAGUGCAGAAGGGGAGAGUGGAAUUCCAUGUGUAGCGGUGAAAUGCGUAGAUAUAUGGAGGAACACCGGUGGCGAAAGCGGCUCUCUGGUCUGUAACUGACGCUGAGGCUCGAAAGCGUGGGGAGCGAACAGGAUUAGAUACCCUGGUAGUCCACGCCGUAAACGAUGAGUGCUAGGUGUUGGAUCCUUUCCGGGAUUCAGUGCCGCAGCUAACGCACUAAGCACUCCGCCUGGGGAGUACGACCGCAAGGUUGAAACUCAAAGGAAUUGACGGGGGCCCGCACAAGCGGUGGAGCAUGUGGUUUAAUUCGAAGCAACGCGAAGAACCUUACCAGGUCUUGACAUCCCGAUGCUAUUUCUAGAGAUAGAAAGUUACUUCGGUACAUCGGUGACAGGUGGUGCAUGGUUGUCGUCAGCUCGUGUCGUGAGAUGUUGGGUUAAGUCCCGCAACGAGCGCGACCCCUAUUGUUAGUUGCCAUCAUUCAGUUGGGCACUCUAGCGAGACUGCCGGUAAUAAACCGGAGGAAGGUGGGGAUGACGUCAAAUCAUCAUGCCCCUUAUGACCUGGGCUACACACGUGCUACAAUGGUUGGUACAACGAGUUGCGAGUCGGUGACGGCAAGCUAAUCUCUUAAAGCCAAUCUCAGUUCGGAUUGUAGGCUGCAACUCGCCUACAUGAAGUCGGAAUCGCUAGUAAUCGCGGAUCAGCACGCCGCGGUGAAUACGUUCCCGGGCCU